AGUCACGACGAGUUUGAUCAUGGCUCAGAACGAACGCUGGCGGCAGGCCUAACACAUGCAAGUCGAACGAACCUUCGGGUUAGUGGCGCACGGGUGCGUAACACGUGGGAAUAUACAUUUCGGUAAGGAAUAACACAGAGAAAUUUGUGCUAAUACCUUAUAAUGACUCCGGUCCAAAGAUUUAUCGCCGAAGGAUUAGCCCGCGCUAGAUUAGUUUGUUGGUGAGGUAAGAGCUCACCAAGACUACGAUCUAUAGCUGGUCUUAGAGGAUGAUCAGCCACACUGGAACUGAGACACGGUCCAGACUCCUACGGGAGGCAGCAGUGAGGAAUAUUGGACAAUGGGGGCGAACCCUGAUCCAGCCAUGCCGCGUGAAUGAAGAAGGCCUUAGGGUUGUAAAAUUCUUUCAGAUGCGAAGAUAAUGACGGUACCAUACAGAAGAAGCUCCGGCUAAAUUCGUG
rnacentral:rRNA from 1 species